rnacentral:rRNA from 1 species
UGGGGAAUCUUCCGCAAUGGGCGCAAGCCUGACGGAGCAACGCCGCGUGAAUGAAGAAGGUUUUCGGAUCGUAAAAUUCUGUCAUCAAGGACGAUCUAGCCUGGUAAAUAGCCAGGUGAAAGACGGUACUUGAGGAGGAAGCUCCGGCUAACUACGUGCCAGCAGCCGCGGUAAUACGUAGGGAGCAAGCGUUGUCCGGAAUUACUGGGCGUAAAGGGCGCGUAGGCGGGUAUUUAAGUCAGAUGUGAAAACUCUGGGCUCAACCUGGAGACUGCAUUUGAAACUGGAUACCUUGAGGGCAGGAGAGGAAAGUGGAAUUCCUAGUGUAGCGGUGAAAUGCGUAGAUAUUAGGAGGAACACCAGUGGCGAAGGCGACUUUCUGGACUGUACCUGACGCUGAGGCGCGAAAGCGUGGGGAGCGAACG